rnacentral:rRNA from 1 species
CAGGGAUUGCCCCAGUAGCGGCGAGCGAAGCGGCAACAGCCCAGAUUUGAAAUCCGGUGCUCUUUGGGCGCCCGAGUUGUAAUCUGCAGAUGGGUUUUCCGGUGAGGUGCACGUCCAAGUUCCCUGGAAUGGGACGCCGUAGAGGGUGAGAGCCCCGUACUGGCGCUGCGCCGAGCCUCUGUGUGGCCCAUUCGACGAGUCGAGUAGUUUGGGAAUGCUGCUCUAAUUGCGAGGUAAAUCUCUCGUAAGGCUAAAUACCGGCCAGAGACCGAUAGCGCACAAGUAGCGUGAGCGAAAGAUGAAAAGAGCCUUGGAUAAGGGCGUCAAAAAGCAUGUGAAAUCGUUAUGGGGGAAGCGCUCGUCGCCAGACGUGGCGGCGGCCGGUUAGUCGGCGUCCUCGCCGACGCACUCGGAUCGUCGCCAGGCCAGCAACAGCUCGGACUGGGGCCUACUGCCGGAGGGAACGUAGCUCCUCUCGGGGAGUGUUAUAGCCCUUCGGUGACGCCCUGGGCCGGGCUGAGGACCGCGCCUUGUGCACGGAUGCUGGCGUAAUGGCGCCUAGCGACCCGUCUUGAAACACGGACCAAGGAGUUGACCUAGCGCGCGAGUGUACGGGUGUCAAGCCCCUGCGCGCAGUGAAAGCAAACGCUGGUGGGAGCCUUCGGGCGCACCAUCGACCGAUCCUGAUGCUCCGCGGAUGGAUUUGAGUAGGAGCGUGCUGGGUCUGACCCGAAAGAAGGUGAACUAUGCAUGGGUAGGGUGAAGCCAGAGGAAACUCUGGUGGAGGCUCGCAGCGGUUCUGACGUGCAAAUCGAUCGUCAAACCUGUGCAUGGGGGCGAAAGACCAAUCGA